GCAGUGGUGGUUCAGGGGUAGAAUUCUCCCCUUCCACGUGUAAGACCUGGGUUUGAUUCCCGGCCAAUACA
rnacentral:tRNA from 1 species